UUAUCUGUUUUAAUUUGAUUUGUUUUGAUUUUCAGAAAUCAUUCUCGUCGAUACUGAUCUCUUAAAUCUAUCAAACCUUCAACACAAGUUAAACCUUGGUUAGUGAGUCAAAAGUCUUCUUCAAAACAACACGUCCAUGCCAAGCACAUGUAAAUCGAUGCAAUGGACGCCAGCACAAAACCCACGAACAUUACCGAUGACUUCUCGUCGAAGAACAUCCUUGCUGUCUUGCUGGACGCAACCCUUUGAUGACUGAAGCUAAUGGGCUGAAUCGUCUUGCCUCUAACAGAGCAACUCAGAAAACUUAAUACAAAUAUAACUAGUACAAGAUUAUUACUGAAUGAUAAGCUUGCCAUGACUUUAGGGAAUUUUAGAGCUUGAAGCAAAAAUUAAUUUAUAGAUAGUUUGUUGUGAAGAGAAUGAUUUUAAAAGAGAAUGGUUUUUUGUUUUUACCUAUAGCUUAAUUACGUCAAUUAUUUUGCACCACGAUGCUAGAUCCGAGAUUAUUGUCUAUCGCGAAUGAUUAGGUUAGAGAAAGGAGUUAUGGAGACAAAACAGGAAGCGAAGAUGCAAAAGGACAAGUAGAUAAGGAAAAUGGAUUAGAAGAGAAAGAAUAGAGACAAGAGAACAAAAGAAAGGUAAACGAUUAGGAAAAUAAAAGAUUGAAAUUUAGAUUAAGUAAGUACGUCUUUAUUCGUACGUCAUAGGAUGGUUAUUCGAAUUAAAAGAUUUUGAUUUGUA